rnacentral:lncRNA from 1 species
ACGCGGGAACUCUGGUGAGUGCGAACUCUGGGGAGGGCGGGAACUCUGGGGAGCGCAGGUAUUCUGGCAAGCGCGAGAACUCUGGCGAAUGUGAACUCUGGCAAGCAUGAGAACCCUGGUGACUGCAAACUCUGGUGAGCAUGAGAACUCUGGGGAGCGUGGGAACUCUGGGGAGCACAGGAACUCAGGUGAGCGUGAACUCUGGCAAGCGCGUGAACCCUGGCGAGGACCAACUCUAGCAAGCGCGAGAACUGAGGUGAGCGCGAGAACUCUGCUGAGCGUUAACCCUGGUGAGUGUGAACUCUGGCGAGCCCGAGAUCUCUCGGGAGGGCRGGAACUCUGGCGAGCGUGA